rnacentral:lncRNA from 1 species
GUCUUCAAGCUGGCAAUGUAUUUGAAUUGCAGUUUUCAGAUUGUGGCUCCAGAACCAUUGUCUCUGCAUUUAAGUAGCACCUUUUAAUAAUUACUGUUUCUUUGUGUAUGCAAAAGCACAAGAGUUACAAAUGUAUAUAGCAGGGGGAAAAAAAAAGAGUUUACAGAGGUAGUAUUGCUGCAUAGAAUAAUUGCUACUGAGUGUUUCUUAUAUCAUCUGUGGAAUUGAAAGAUGAGGUUUAUUCUGUCCAGUUCAUUCUGUUCAACACUGUUUCCCUUUUGUUUAUGUAUAGCAAUCAGGUGUUAUUGUUUUAUCAUUUGUAAAACUGUAAAAUAAAUUAAACCCCAUUUUUUU